rnacentral:lncRNA from 1 species
CCGACCCUACUUCGGAGAAGCUUCUCCAACGCAAACCCCUUCCAGGCGUCCCAUUCGGUAAACCUUUUUGUUUGCUUAUUUAUUUAUUUUUAUUUUUAUUGACUUAUUUUUUUUUUAAUUUAAGGGUUCACGAUUUCAAUCAUGGAAAGGGGACAAAAAUAAAAAGGAAAUAAUUCUAGACAUACAUAAAUCGACACGGCCAGUGAAGUACAUACACUCUAUCCCAAAGGCUACAAUGCAAAUCUCGCCACUUGGAUUUGCAAACAGGGUUCCUGUCUUAAGCGAUGUGUCCUCCAAAGUCCUAACAGUCUUGGGCUAUUUUUUGACUGGGACUCCAGGUAUAGAAACACGAUGACACUACAGUACUUGCCAUGAUCUCUUAUGUGUGCACUUAUUUUUUAAAUCACUAUUAUUAUUAUUAUUAUUAUUAUUAUUAUUGUUUUAUUUAUUUUCUGGCCAAAAACACCUUCCAAUUUCUCUGAAAUGUAUAUGUUAGAUACCCAUCCCUUAAUGUUUUAGAUCUUUUCUCAGCAAGUCCCUCUUAAAGGUACAAGUACUCUUUAAAGACCUGACAUUUAACAUAUCUACUUUACCUUUUCAUUGACAGCCCCGGAGUGAGUCCCCCCCAGAGGACAAGGAACAGGGGAGGUUCUGAAAUGGGAGAAGGUGGGGAAAAAAACCCCAGGCUUCCAGCCUGACAUUGCUCCAUCUGUAAUGCACACUUGUCAUUUCAAGGAGGAUAAAAAAGCAAUGUCAAUAUAUACAUAUCCAACUCUUCCCUUGUUCUGGAAGCACCAUCUUACAACUGAGAAAAAGGGCCACCCGUUGUUGAAUCUAAGACCCUUCUACUGAAUGGAAGGAAGAAUCCUGAGAUAAUCCCUAAAAGCAGAAAAGUGGCUCACUGGUCAGCUGAGCGGUGGUCAUGAGGGUCUGUGGGUUUCUGAUGACAUCUGUGCCAUUAAGGUAGUUAAGAUUUUUACUCAGAUCUUGAAUGGACCACAUAUAAUUUAAACCCAGGAUUUGGAAGCAUUUGUGUUUCUCCCUCGCUCCAGAGGUAGCCAGCUUCAAAUAUGGGGAACACUUAUUAAUACUUCAGUUGAGCUCUGCAUACAACUUCUUCUGGAUAUAGAUGUCUUUUUUUUUUUUUUUUUUUUUACCAUUGUCUGAACAACAAUUAGAAUGGCAUUCGUCCAGGGAAUAAAACUGUUCCUCUCCUUACCCUUUCCACAUAAACUUGUCCCCAGUAUGCUCCUAGUCUCUGAUGUCCAGAAGUAGAAAUGUCCACUGCGAGCUGUUGUCCAAACUAUGAUGACCAUGUUCACGAUCAGCACAAAACACACACUUGGUGCCAAGAAAGGUAGUGACUCUAGAUGAAACAAAUAUCAUAGUCCAAGAUUCUGGAUGGAGAAAAGAGUAAGCCAGAAAUUGAUAUUCAUCAUCACAGUUAAUUACUAAAUUUGUAAAAUGUCUAUUUUCUGUGAACUUCAUCUGUUUCAAAGACUGUGUUUAUGUUUGUACCCGCAGCAUAAGGCAUGAUUCGUAGGAAUUAAAAAAUACACGUGGGGUGAAUUAAAGUUACAAGAACAUAGAAGUGGUGGGUAGCCUUUUUUAUCUGUUACGGGUCACUGAAUCAGAGGAAAAUAAUUAUUUGUAAAUAAGUAUAUAAAUGUUAUGUAAAUUCUACACGGAGAUAAGCAAAUAACAAUGUUUUAAGAGAUAUUUUGAGAAAUUCCAAAAGAAAAUCCACUGCUUUAUAUUAAAUAUAAAAAAUAUAUGUAACUAUUGGAUUCAAUUUAUUUUAAACUGUUCUUCAGUAUCUUAUUGUGAGCUAGGAAAAUAAAAGGAAAUGGAAAGGAUGAAAAGGGAAAAGGGAGAUGAAAGAUCCAACAACAAGAGAGGAAGCCAAUGAGGUGGGAAGGGGUGUCAUGGUAAGAAGCAGGGAGGGAACAGAGAGGGAAAUGGCUCAGAAUCCCUUCGUUUCUGGGCACAGCAUCAACAAUCCUCAGAAAACCCAUUCUCACAUCUCUGCUUAAAAUCCGGAGUUUAUGGGAGUUUGCUUAGACCGUGGGUUGCUUGUGUCAUCAAUGAUAAAACUGCAUCAAACAAGAGAGUGAAAACAGACCAAUCGUCCUCACCUCACCAUCAAGGUACUCCCUUUUCUCAUGUUUUCAUAAAAGGUCACUGAGCCAUAACUCUUAUGUGGUGAAAAAAAACUCUAGUCCAAAUUGGUUUUUAACUUGUGAAUGCACAUUGGCAAGUCAAACACCACCACCCCUUUUCCAGAAUUUCUGCUCAUAAUUUGCAACCAAUAAUUGUGUGUGUGUGUGUGUGUGUGUGUGUGUGUGAGAGAGAGAGAGAGACAGAGACAGAGACAGAGAGAGAGAGAACCUGUGUAUAUGCAUACACAUUAUCAACAUCUAGCCUGACUCUCUGUAAUAUGGGAUCAUCCAGGUUACAGAUAGAUAAUCUGAAGUUCAAAUCUAAAAGAGAUUAUUUCGUGGUUAAAGAAAAAAAAAGGCAUUGUGAUUUGGAGUACUCGGCUAAUACUAAACUAUUCGCAUGUUUCAAAAUGAGUCCCAAAAAUCACUAAAGAAUGCAUUCCUAAUACUUAGCAUAUUACAUAUCUCGCUUCUCAAAUUCUUCAGCAUUUAUCAUUUUUGUUAAUCUUAAAAAAGUCUAAAACUAUAGACUCCUCUCUGACACAUAUUUGCACAUUACAAGGAAGAUUCUCUAGCCAGUCAUCCAGGAUUACAUUUCCUACGCUCACCUCAAUUGUCGAAGUUGAGAAGGAAGUAUCCUGUUCCCCAAGUUCCCCCCACCCCCCCCCAUCUCAGUCAUUUUUCCUACUUCUGGCAUCUUUAAUUACUACAUUCAGGACGAUAUUAGAGCAAAGAUCAGUGAGUCUUUGGACAAGGUCUUCAAUUAUUAUCUCAAGUGGGGAAAAAGAAGGGCAGUAGAUUAGCUGUUAGCAAACUUAAGGUUAUAGAAAUUCUGGGCAAUAAGAAACUUAAUCUGUCAGAUAGGCCAGUGCCAUUUCUCUUUAUCUGUGUGAAAAUAAAUAGAAACUGUGUGCCAAGUGUGACUGUACUUAAUCCUGUGGAUAUGAGCAUGUGAAUAUAGUCGUCCUUAGAGUCAAGGUGUCCAGCCACAAGCCUCAACCUCAUCAAUCUCUUUCUUCCUUUCUUCCUAUCUUCCUAUCUCACAAACUGGCCUCCUUUAAUUCUUCCUUAUUGAGUUUCUUCCUUCCUCUUCAGGACCCUUGCAAAGACUGUCCCCUCUGUCUGGAGCAUACCCAUUUAUUUCCCCCAACCACCCACCUAAGCUGUUGCUUUUUCAUCUUUCAGCUCCACAGGAAGUCAUAAGCCAUGGAUGACAGACACUCCCUCGAUUGAUUCUGGACCUCCUUGAUUUGUUCUCAUGAGACCCCCCCCCUACUUUUUCAGCAGAGGACGCAGGACGGCUUGGCAUUUCAUACACCUGAGAUAUUUAAUGGACACAUUUUCGCAGGCUUUGCACUAUAAAUUCCACAAGAGGAAUUUAUCUUCAGCUCUUAGCACGGUGCUAGUCACAACCAAGUACAUACCUAUUAAAUGACUGCAUGAAAGAAAAAUAGAUACAAUUCAGGAAAGCCAUUGUCUGGGCCUUGGAGAGCUGUACAACCGGGACACGAUAGAAUAAAAAAAGAUAAAGGACUUAUUUUACCCUGUUUACAUCACUGUUAUGGAAAUCUCUGAUAUUUUUCAAAACUCCUACCAUGCCUUCAAGGAUAAAAUACAUCAUUCCAUAGAAACCAUAUUUUGAGGCAAGUACAUUUUUGAAAAUAAUUAACAAAAAUGAAAUAGAGAAUCAUAAAGAAAGGAGAUCAAAUUAUAGCAUUUUGACAUUCUAAAUGAAUCAAUCCUUCAUCUUGGUCAAUUCUGU